AUUGAACGCUGGCGGCAGGCCUAACACAUGCAAGUCGAACGAGUGGCGGACGGGUGAGUAAUGUCUGGGAAACUGCCCGAUGGAGGGGGAUAACUACUGGAAACGGUAGCUAAUACCGCAUACCAUCGGAUGUUCCCAGAUGGGAUUGGCAAGUAGGUGGGGUAACGGCUCACCUAGGCGACGAUCCCUAGCUGGUCUGAGAGGAUGACCAGCCCAACUGGAACGGAGACACGGUCCAGACGCCUACGGGAGGCAGCAGUGGGGAAUAUUGCACAAUGGGCGCAAGCCUGAGGCAGACAUGCCGCGUGUAUGAAGAAGGCCUUCGGGUUGUAAAGUACUUUCAGCGAGGAGGCGUUACUCGCAGAAGAAGCACCGGCUAACUCCGUGCCAGCAGCCGCGGUAAUUC
rnacentral:rRNA from 1 species